GCGGAGGACAUUACAGUGCCGCUGGGGUGCGCUUCGGCGCGCCCCGCAACUGGCCACCCGUGUCUACCGAACCUCGUUGCUUCGGCGGGCCCGCGUCCCGUCUGGGAUGCCGCCCGAGGGCGACCGCCACGCGCGGCCGUCCGGGGCCCGCGCCCGCCGGAGGACCUCCAGGAACUCUUUGUUGACCAGUGAACGUCUGAGUGCAUGAUAAAUUAAUUAAAACUUUCAACAACGGAUCUCUUGGUUCCAGCAUCGAUGAAGAACGCAGCGAAAUGCGAUAAGUAAUGUGAAUUGCAGAAUUCCGUGAAUCAUCGAAUCUUUGAACGCACAUUGCGCCCUCUGGUAUUCCGGGGGGCAUGCCUGUCCGAGCGUCAUUGCAACCCUCAAGCACGGCUUGUGUGAUGGGCGUUCGUCCCCGGUGAGGGGACGAGCCCGAAAGGCAGUGGCGGCGUCGCGGUUAUCCGAUUGCCUGAGCGUAUGGGGCUCUGUCACGCGCGAAUGGCUGGGACCGGCGCCGGCCGAAUCAACCUCACAUUUUUCUGGUUGACCUCGGAUCAGGUAGGGAUACCCGCUGAACUUAAGCAUAUCAAUAA
rnacentral:misc_RNA from 1 species